rnacentral:rRNA from 1 species
GUUGCUGGCCCUCAUAGGGGGCAUGUGCACGCUCUGUUUACACAUCCACUCACACCUGUGCACCCUCUGUAGUUCUAUGGUCUGGGGGACCCUGUCUUCCUUCUGUGGUUCUACGUCUUUACACACACACUGUAAUAAAGUUUUAUGGAAUGUACAUCGCGUCUAACGCAAUACAAUACAACUUUCAGCAACGGAUCUCUUGGCUCUCGCAUCGAUGAAGAACGCAGCGAAAUGCGAUAAGUAAUGUGAAUUGCAGAAUUCAGUGAAUCAUCGAAUCUUUGAACGCACCUUGCGCCCCUUGGCUAUUCCGAGGGGCAUGCCUGUUUGAGUAUCAUGAACACCUCAACUCUCAUGGUUUGCCAUGAUGAGUUGGACUCUGGGGGUUUUGCUGGCCUGUGGUCGGCUCCUCUCAAAUUAAUCAGCCUCCCAGUGUUUGGUGGCAUCACGGGUGUGAUAAAUAUCUACGCUCGCUGUUGUCUGCCAGGUAACCUUUGGUCACAAAGGUUUGCUGGAGCUCACAGAUGUCUCUCCUCAGCGAGGACAGCUUUUUUAACGUUCGAUCUCAAAUCAGGUAGGACUACCCGCUGAACUUA